rnacentral:rRNA from 1 species
CCUACGGGAGGCAGCAGUGAGGAAUAUUGGUCAAUGGGCUUACGCCUGAACCAGCCAAGUCGCGUGAGGGAAGACUGCCCUAUGGGUUGUAAACCUCUUUUGUCAGGGAGCAACGCCGGCUACGUGUAGCCGGACUGAGAGUACCUGAAGAAAAAGCAUCGGCUAACUCCGUGCCAGCAGCAGCGGUAAUACGGAGGAUGCGAGCGUUAUCCGGAGUUAUUGGGUUUAAAGGGUGCAUAGGCGGAAUGCCAAGUCAGCGGUAAAAUCGCGGGGCUCAACCUCGCUCCGCCGUUGAAACUGGCGUUCUUGAGUGGGCGAGAAGUAUGCGGAAUGCGUGGUGUAGCGGUGAAAUGCAUAGAUAUCACGCAGAACUCCGAUUGCGAAGGCAGCAUACCGGCGCCCAACUGACGCUGAAGCACGAAAGCGUGGGUAUCGAACAGGAUUAGAUACCCUAGUAGUC